rnacentral:rRNA from 1 species
GACGAACCGUGCGAACGUUGUUCGGAUUCACUGGGCUUAAAGGGCGCGUAGGCGGGCAUCCAAGUCAGGGGUGAAAUCUUUCGGCCCAACCGGAAAAGUGCCUUUGAUACUGGGUGUCUCGAGUGAGGUAGGGGCAUGUGGAACUUCCGGUGGAGCGGUGAAAUGCGUAGAUAUCGGAAGGAACGCCGGUGGCGAAAGCGACGUGCUGGACCUCAACUGACGCUGAGGCGCGAAAGCCAGGGGAGCAAAC